rnacentral:rRNA from 1 species
CUUUAACGGAGAGUUUGAUCCUGGCUCAGGACGAACGCUGGCGGCGUGCCUAAUACAUGCAAGUCGAGCGGACUUGAAGGAGUGCUUGCACUCCUGAUGGUUAGCGGCGGACGGGUGAGUAACACGUAGGUAACCUGCCCAUAA